ensembl:snoRNA Gm23787 predicted gene, 23787
UGGACCAAUGAUGAUAGUUACCAAGGUAUGAGAGAGAUGACGAAUAACACUUGUCUGAAGCUCAGAGGUCCAA